rnacentral:tRNA from 1 species
GCUUGCUUGGUCUAGUCGGUUAUGGCGCCGGUCUCAUAAUCCGGAGGUCGGCAGUUCGAUCCUGCCAGCGAGCA